rnacentral:sRNA from 1 species
CAGUUUUGAAGUAUGAAGAACCUGAUUGCCGAAAAUCAAAGUCUAAACCCCCUCUUCCAAAACCCUCAUGCAAGUCUCAUAGUGCCAGUCCUUCCCGCUGUAAGGAUAUUAGUCUCAGUCCUAAAUAUACUGGGUCAUAUUCAAGUCGAAACAUCUUCACCAGGAAGUCAUGUUAGCCGUACAAAAGAAAAGUCUCGUCAGAUUUCAACGUCUUCAAUGUCAUCUCAGUCUUCUCUUCCCAUUGCCAGUAGCCCAUCUUCUAAGUCCUCGAAGUCUCCAUCACCAAGUAAGCUUCCGAUUUUCUCCAGCAAAAGUUCGCGCAAGAAGGACAAGGAGUACAAAGUCGGAAACGGUCGAGUAGUAGAGCUGAAUACAUCCAACAGAGGAACAGAUUCCGAUAGUGGUAACGGACAGUGGUAUUGUUUGCACAUGAAAAGAAAUUGCUUUCUCCAUACAGCACCGUCACAAAGCCUCGCACUCCUAGCCAUUCUAGCAGUGGACAUGGAAGUGACAAUAGCAGCACAGAGGAAAGCACUAGUGAAUCCCCAAACGAUAAAAAGAAAGGAUCCAAGAAAAAGAAGUCAAGUACAAAAACGUAGUCGUUCAGCCACCUGGAGAUCCAGUGAAAGUCUGAUGGCAAGGGGUCCCGUGAUAUUAAGUCCCUCAUCAAAGGCAUGGGUGGAUACGAGACAGAUUCAGAGAAUCAAAGAGGAACCUUUUGAGAUCAAGUUAUACGAUAUGGACGACGUGGAAAGGCUUGCUAGAAGAAGAAAUGAAGAAGAGGCUCACACUCGAGCAAGCACGUCCUGUUUAUCCUUGACCCCGAAGAAACAGGUCACUGUGUUUGACCCUUCCACUGUAGGGGUCACCCUUUCCUCCCCCCGUAGGGCGACACCUGUGGCCCCCAGAUGUUUUGCCUUUGAUGCAGUGUUUUCCACCUUGAUGACUCUCAGACUGAGAUUUGCUCCAGCAGCUGACAGAAAUUAUCCAGGUGUUGUCAUGGGGCUGAUGGCUGCCUUUUCUCCUAGAUCUCUAGACAGAAGCAGUGAGGAACAGCCCUGGUGUCUAUCUGAUGGAUGGACCUUUUGUGGGACCAAUGGAAAACCGAGUGAACUGAGGGCCCCUACCGCGACGAGCGCUUAA